AACAAACGCUGGCGGCGUGCCUAAUACAUGCAAGUCGAACGGGGAAAGUAGCAAUAUGAGUUCUAGUGGCGCACGGGGGGGUAAUGCAUGUGUAAUCUGCCCUCAAGCUGGGGAUAACCGGUCGAAAGACUGGCUAAUACCGAAUGUGACCACAAGAACUGAGAGUGUGGGGGUGAAAGGUUUUUCGCGUGAGGAUGAGCCCAUGUGGGAUUAGCUAGUUGGUGGGGUAAUGGCUCACCAAGGCGACGAUCCCUAACUGGUCUUAGAGGAUGAUCAGUCACACUGGAACUGAGACACGGUCCAGACUCCUACGGGAGGCAGCAGUAGGGAAUAUUGCGCAAUGGGGGAAACCCUGACGCAGCGACGCCGCGUGAGUGAUGAAGGCCUUCGGGUCGUAAAGCUCUGUCAUAUGGGACGAACAAAAUGAAGGUACCAUGCAAGAAAGGAUCGGCUAACUUCGUGCCAGCAGCCGCCGUAA
rnacentral:rRNA from 1 species